CUGAAGGAACACAUAGUGUCUAUAAGGUCUUCGUGUAGUAGUGACUAUGGAGCAGAGCAUAGGUGAAUACAGAUUUUGCAUACCAUGAAUGUUUCUGCGCAAGGACUGCUUCUCCUAAACACUAGUUUCUUUUCCAAUUUCUCCUUCCGAGGGUUUCGCAGGUUGUCAGUUGUUCGACGUUCGCAGCAGUGUCACGGGCUGAGAAGAGGUUUCUCGAAAAACAUGGCUUGCAGUGUGGAAAAUUGUGAUAUGGGUAAUGGGGUGGUUCAUCCAGCCACGGAUGCCUAUGCUGGAGAGGCAGUUGAAGCUUUGAAAGCUGGGAAAGUCAUAGCGGUACCCACCGAUACACUCUAUGGGUUUGCUUGUGAUGCUUGCUCAUUGGAAGCGGUUAACAGGAUUUAUGAGAUCAAAGGCCGUAGACACACAAGCCCUCUGGCUAUUUGUGUUGGCGACGUAUCAGACAUAACCCGUUUUGCUGUCACUGACCAUUUACCUCAUGGUCUGCUUGAUUCCCUCCUACCUGGGCCUGUUACAGUUGUACUAAAACGAGGAGAGUCAAGUGUUCUUGAACGAUCUUUGAACCCAGGAUUGGAUAGUAUAGGAGUUAGAGUGCCUGAUUGCAAUUUCAUCAGGACCAUUGCCCGUGCUUCAGAAACUGCUUUAGCCCUCACCAGUGCAAACUUAAGUGGACAGCCAAGUAGUCUUUCCACCAAAGAUUUUGAAAACCUCUGGGAACACUGUGCUUUUGUUUAUGAUGGUGGUUUGAUUCCAUCAAGUCGUGCAGGUUCUACAGUUGUGGACCUCACUACACCACAAAGAUACAGGAUACUUAGACCUGGAAGUGCAAAGGAAGAGACAAUUUCCAUCUUGGAGAAGCAUUCUUUCGUUGAGACAGUGACCUCUUAAAUAAGUUGUGAUUCAUUUUCAGUGUGACAUUGUAGACCUAAUGUCCCACUUGCAAAAUCAAACAAUUCUUUCGCUUGACAAUUGAUACAUUAUGACCGUAGUGCGUUGUAAACUGUGGGAUUCCUUCAAUAUUCGAACAUCUUUGAAACAUAAAGCAACCACUGGAUAUGGAUGUUGAACUGGGUUGCGUCUUGCGUCACAGAACAGGCUUUUCAACAGUAUUUUAGAAGAUUAUUUUAUAUCAGAAAUAUUGAGAUUAUACUUCUAAUCAUUAUAAAAAAAAAACACUUUAAAGAACUUAAAAAAAUCUUUAAAUAAACACAGACAAACGUACCCUGAAUAGAGAAUCUAUAAUUUUCAUUUGAUCAAGGGUAAACCUGCAAAUUUGAGUUUCUUAAUAGACUCUUGGAGUUUGGAGUUGUUUUCUUUUCAUAUUAUCUAAUGGAGAUAUUUUUAUCUGAAUUAGGUAGGAUUGCACUAAACAAUGAAGUUCUUUCAUUUAAUAUACUUGCAUAGCUCGAAUUUGAAUUUGAGACUACUUAAUGAGAUAAAGUAAUCAAGGACUGUUAUAACCUUUCAUGUUUAAUGUGCUAACAGAAUUAUUUUGUUGCACGUCCUUUGUCAGACAUAAACGAUGUCAAAGAUUG